rnacentral:lncRNA from 1 species
GUUGGAGUUCAUGGAUUGCAGUAGAGACACCAAACGAGGACAGGAAUCCUUCUGGCUCUGGCUGAAGGGAAAGUGAGUGUCUGCUUCUACUGCUCCCCUGCUUCUUUUUCCAUCCUUGGCACAAGACUGGCACCUCUGGAGGUGGCUGAGGAGGGAGCAAGACUCUUCUUGAGUAGUGUCCUCACUGCAGGGAGACAAACAUUAGACUAGAUGUCGUUUUCACUUUUCUGAGUUCAAUGGGAUUAAAUCCACUCCAUCUCAUGGAAGCAUUACAGUGAAUACAGGGUGGCCUGUGGAGUUCUCUCUUCCUUAGUGGAGAAGAUCAAGGCAUGUGCUGGUGGAGGAUUUGGGGAACAGAUCCACAUAACCGUGCACUUCUGGCUGACAUCAUCAGCUUGUUUCCAAGGAGGGAAUGUCCUGGAUGACUGCAGGCUACAGAUCUUAGCCAGCUCCUACCUGAUGACAAGGUGCUGCUGAGAUGUGUGACAGCCGCAGAUGGCUAUCAGCUUCUGGAGAUCGCCUGUCCGUGCUCUCCUGUCCCCUCAUUUCACUGAGUGGCACCAGGGGAAAGUGACAGACGAAGCACCACCUGACCAGACAAGAAAAACACCAGCAAAAACACAAGGGGAAACUUUCAGAGUUCUUUCUUCUUUGUUUCUUCUAUGACCAGCUUAUGCAUGCAUUGGUUUUGAUCCAACACCAUCCCCCCAUUGGCUCAGCUGUUCCUUGGCCCAAAACUGGAUCUACCAAGUCAUCCUACAGAACACAACUGCUUCUCCUCCAUCUGUUCACCCUGCUUUUAAGACACACCUGAGAUCCCAUGGCUCAUGGCUGAGCUUGUGGCAAUGCUUGCAGCAAUCCACAAGGUCUAGCAGCUCAUCACUACAUCACUUGAAACCAGCGUAUGGCAAGGAAGAGGCUUGAAUCUCUCCCGCUCCCCUGUGGGAUGGUGUUGGAGAGAACCACCAGCCUGUGGGCAGAGACAAGGGCCCCCACCACACUGACAGCCCAGCACCUACCCCCGAGGAGAGCCCAGCUUGUGCAUCAGCUCAGCACAAAAGGGGCUUGGGAUAAAACUGCUGCUCUGACAACUCUGGGAACCACAGUUCGCCAUGCGUUCCCAGGAUGGGGGCAUGAGGUGGUGCUGCGAGAUGAUGGGGUGCAGCCCAACCAGACCCACAUCCAGCCCAGCCAGUGGGUGCAAGAAGGCCAAUGUCUCAGGCACCCACUGACUACCAGUACUGGGAGAAGGCUGCAUACCCAUGGGAUUACCAGCCCGUCUGCAUCCUUGCACAAAAUAGAGCCUGUCCCCACCAACUGAGGAGUUGCUGAUACACCUGCAGGGAUACAGUCGCAGUAUCUCCUCUGUGUGCAACUCCUGUUGUACUUUCUGUCCUUUUUGCUUCACUGUUUGGGAGUGCUUCAGCUCCUCAGACCCCCUUUGCUGGUAUCAGAAACGCUUCAAGGGAGUUCCAUAGAUGUGGAAGGCUGGAAAGCAUCAAUGGUUCAGGGUGAGACUUAAACUGGGUCAGUGUUUGUGCAGAUACUGAUAUUAGGGCAACACAGCUGAGCGCCAUUGGUGACUUGGACGCUUCUGGGUGGGACAGUUACUUCGAGGGGCAGUGCCAUGUGUUUCAUCCUGCACAAACCCACAAUGGGCGCUGAGAGCAGCACCCAUUCCUUCAGUCCCUUUUCUCUCCUCCAGUUUGCAUUACUCCCCCUGACAAGCAGAUCCCAGUAGUUAUUUCUUUGGAGCCUCCUU